UCUGUGCAAACAAAAAAAUGAUUCUUUCGUUUAGCUCAUGUGGAAGUGCUCCAUUUACAUAUAUGAUAGGUGAAGGAUAAAACAGACAUGAUUACCAUUUAUUUCUGAUAUUCUCAAUGGCUACUCAAGUGUUUGGUUGCUGUUUUUUUCUUCUCAUACAAGAUUUCCCAUUGCAUCUGUAUUUAAUUGUAUGUUUCCCAUUUAAGGCUAGAGCAGGAGUAGAGAUGGCACUGAUUGACGCAAUUCCUAACAGCAUUCGCAUCCCUGUGUGGAAAUUAUUUGGAGGGGCAUCAGAUACUGUGACUACAGACAUAACGAUUCCAAUCGUGGCCCCAAAUGAAGCUGCACAAUUGGCCGCAAAAUAAUGAGUGCAAGGGUUUCAAACGCUGAAGCUCAAGUUUGGGAAAAACUUGAACUCGGAUAUACAAGUUUGGAAAAACGGUUUGUACUCCUGCAAACUCUGUGCUACUAUAUGAAAUCGCCUUUUGAUCUUUCCUCAAUAUUUCGAAUUUAUUAGCUGUUCA